ACAGAAGCGGGAUGUGUUUGGACCACACACAGUUUCUGGGACGUGUGGAUGGACGUGAUGGACAUCUCCUCUUGGACAGUGUGAAAAGCAGCAUAACCCCUGCUGGACAUCGUGCCGGGGCUCGGGGGGGGACCCGAAUCAUCCCCGUCCCUUCAUUCACACAACACUCACAGCGAUCUGGCUGGAAUCGAACCAACAACCUCUGAACCAUGAGGCAGCGCUCUUACCGGCACAUAGUGCUGAAUCUUCUUGGCUCCAUUGGGUGUUGGGCGUCCCACUGGUCUACAGGU